rnacentral:rRNA from 1 species
AUGGCUGGAAAUCAGCAGCCGGCUUCAGUUGUGUUGGAUUAUGCAGCAGUCCUCGACGCCAAACCCUUGCGCACACUGACCCCCAUGUUCCCUGCACCGCUUGGGAUGCACACUUUCACCCCUAAAAGCUCAUCUUCAGUUGUCUGUGUCACCCCAUUUGGACCAUAUGCUGGAGGUACCGAACAGGGAAUGCCUGGUGGUGUUCCGCCAAUGUUAACAUCACUGUCCGCUCCUGCAGAUCCCAACCAGGUGCAGCCAUAUACGGCUCAUAUGAAUGGAACUUCUAAUGCUAAUGGUACUACAAACAACACAGUGGUUACCCCUGUGUUGCAAACUCCUCCAGCACCCACUAUACAGGAAUCUGGUAAGAAGAAGAGGGGGAGAUCCAGGCGUGUGCAAGAUACCACUACUGUUCCUUCGGUUCCUCCAGUUCAACCGGUUCCAACGGUUCCUCCAGUUCAACCGGUUCCAAUGGUUCCUACAGUUCAUUUGGUUCCUUCAGUUCCUUCAGCUCCUCCAGAAGUUAAUAAUAUUGUUCUCCAGACACCUCCUUCAGCCGUCACACAGGAAUCUGGUAAGAGGAAGAGGGGACGACCAAAGCGUGUGCCAGAUGUUUCUGUCUUACCAACUCCAUUGCCUGCAGCAGAUGGUACACCUAUUUUACAGACACCUCCUGCAUCUAGUGUACAUGAAUCUGUUACAAAGAAAAGGGGGCGGCGACCCAAGCUUGUGCAGGAUAGUCCAGAUACUUCAACUCCUCCAGUUCAUUCAAAAGAGAGUAAGCCCUUUAUGCAGACUCCUUCUGCAGUCACCUUAUUGGAGGGUGGUAAGAGGAAGAGAGGGCGGCCGAAGCGUGUGCCUGAUAGUUCAGUGACUCCUUCAAGUCAUUCUGGCCUUUCAGUAGAUGUUGACAGUGGUGACACAUCAAAACGUGGCCGGCCUAAAAAAAUUGACACAAGCCUGUUGCACCUACCGUCUUUGUUUUCAGACGAUCCCAGGGAGUCCUCAGAUAAUGUGCUUAUGAUGUUUGAUGCACUGCGACGACGGCUCAUGCAGUUGGAUGAGGUGAAGCAAGUAGCAAAGCAGCAGCAAAACUUGAAGGCUGGGAGUAUCAUGAUGAACGCUGAACUUCGCCUCAAUAAGAACAAGAGGAUUGGAGAGGUUCCAGGUGUCGAGGUUGGUGACAUGUUCUACUUCAGAAUUGAGAUGUGCCUGGUAGGGUUAAAUAGUCAGAGCAUGGCAGGGAUAGAUUAUAUGUCUGCUAAGUUUGGUAACGAGGAGGACCCCGUGGCCAUUAGUAUUGUGUCAGCUGGUGUGUAUGAGGAUGCCGAAGAUGAUGAUCCAGAUGUUCUGGUUUACAGUGGACAUGGCAUGUCUGGUAAGGAUGACCAAAAGCUUGAGAGAGGUAAUCUUGCACUGGAGAGGAGUUUGCAUAGGGGUAAUCCCAUUAGAGUCGUUCGCACUGUGAAAGACUUGACUUGUUCAACUGGUAAGAUAUACAUAUAUGAUGGCCUUUACCAGAUCAGAGAAGCCUGGGUGGAGAAAGGGAAAUCUGGUUUCAAUAUGUUUAAACACAAGUUGCUCAGAGAACCUGGACAACCUGAUGGCAUUGCAGUGUGGAAGAAGACUGAAAAAUGGAGGGAAAAUCCAUCCUCUAGAGAUCGUGUUAUAUUGCACGACAUAUCAUACGGUGUGGAAAGUAAGCCUAUCUGCCUUGUAAAUGAGGUUGACGAUGAGAAAGGUCCUAGCCACUUCACCUAUACAACUAAACUUAAUUACAUGAAUUCCCCAAGCUCAAUGAGAAAGAUGCAAGGCUGCAAAUGCACAAGCGUAUGUCUACCCGGUGAUAACAACUGUUCUUGCACGCAUCGAAAUGCUGGUGACCUUCCUUACAGUGCUUCAGGCAUACUUGUUAGUCGGAUGCCUAUGUUAUACGAGUGCAAUGAUUCAUGCACUUGUUUACAUAAUUGCCGGAACCGGGUUGUACAAAAAGGUAUCCAGAUCCACUUUGAAGUGUUUAAGACGGGAGAUCGAGGUUGGGGCCUGCGUAGUUGGGAUCCAAUCCGAGCAGGCACAUUUAUCUGUGAAUAUGCAGGUGUAAUUGUUGACAAGAAUGCUCUUGAUGCAGAAGAUGAUUAUAUCUUUGAGACCCCUCCUUCGGAGCAGAACUUAAGAUGGAACUAUGCACCAGAAUUACUGGGUGAACCUAGUCUUUCUGACUUAAACGAAUCAUCUAAGCAGUUGCCAAUAAUUAUUAGUGCAAAACAUACUGGUAACAUAGCUCGCUUCAUGAACCACAGCUGCUCACCUAAUGUUUUUUGGCAACCAGUUCUAUAUGACCAUGGUGAUGAGGGAUAUCCACACAUUGCCUUCUUUGCAAUUAAGCAUAUUCCUCCAAUGACAGAGCUUACAUAUGAUUAUGGUCAGAGCCAAGGUAAUUCUGGGUGUCGGAGGACUAAAAGUUGCUUAUGUUGGUCUCGCAAGUGCAGGGGUUCCUUUGGCUAA